UUCAACGGUCGGGCCUUGGCGGGGGUGCCCUCGGGCACGCCGGUUUCCGUUUUCGCCGGUACGCCAACCCUGUCAUGUGCCCGGCCACCCCA
ncrna:Burkholderia thailandensis MSMB43 C4 antisense RNA